rnacentral:lncRNA from 1 species
UUCCGUCCGGUUCACCAAAAGAGCAAACGGGUCAACCCUGCAACUUUUGUGUACCGUUCUUUAUAUUCAAAUCAAUACACUAGGUAUGACAAAUCGAUUAAACCAUUAUUAAAAUAAUAAUAAUAAUAAUAAUAAUAAUAAUAAAAAUGAAGAUAUUAUUUAACAUAAAAUGAUUGACCGAGUCCUCAGGUUUCUUUCAUUUUCUCCCCGGUAGAUAAAAUAAAAGUCCUUGGAGUACCCGAGGAAGUUACUGCUAGAUGAUGAAACUGUGCUUGCAUGUGACUUGGUGGCCCACUAGUCUUCCCUAAAUUCUAAAACAAACGAAUACAAUUUGACAAUGGAAGGAGUGAAAGUAAACAAUAGUGAGCGGUAAGCAAGAAUCUUUUAAAAGACGAGGGAGACAGUUUCAUCGCAACUAUUUUUAGUUAAAACACUUAUUUUAAGUGAAUCUUGGAAAUAAUCUUGAUACUUAUCUUUAUUAUGGACAUGACAAUUGACAUGGCUUCGGGUAUCUUAUUAUCUAAAAUAUAGAUGAUCUUCACGUUGGAACUUUCUUCAACUCAUUGUGAUAUUUCGGCUGGUAAACUUGUUUGGGUGGGAAAUGGUUCAACAUUCACAUCCCACUAACCCAACUUGUGCGUUAUUAAAUUAUAUUCUCACCUUUUUUAAUUAUACGAUUUUUUAAAAGUUAACUAAAAUUAUAAAUUAUUUUUUAAAAAUAUUAUUAAUUAUAAAAUUUAUCGUCUGAUAAUCCUUAAUGAAUUACUAUAUUAAUUUUUAAAUUUAAAAAGAUCUAAAAUUGACUAUUAAAAAAAAUUAUUUUAAAAUGAAGGGAGUACUAUCUUUUAAAGUAUAUAGGGGUUAUAAGUUUAAAAUUUAGGUCCGGAACAUACUUUUAAGUUCUAUUCUAGUUUAAUAAACUGAGGAUUUUUCUAAUAAAAUUUGGAAAGAAAAAACAAAACUAUCGAGUGCAAGUUUUGUUCGAUUUGAGGUCAUGAAGCAUUAAUUAUGUAAGUAACAAUCCGAAACAAAAUCCACAAUUUAGCGAUUUGUCUCCUUUAUUAGGAGGAGUAUAGUACUGUACUACUAUUAUUUAUAAGAGCAAAGGUCAAUCAUGUAUGAGAUGAGCUGUGAGUGGGCAGAAGUAGAACACGAGGUCUCUCUCUCUCUCUCCCCCAAGUUCCAUCCACGUAAAGCAAUGGACGGACAAUCAAUCAGUUGAGUCCAAAUGUUAGAUCCUACGUGACCAAAGGGGGUGAAUGUGAAGCUAGCUUUAGUUUAUUCCGGAUGAAGUUUUUUUUGGGUAAGUUGAUCAAUUGGUCAGUAAAAUAUUAACACACAUAAAGUCUCGCCUACAUGUUAAUACUCUAUUGGUCAAUUGACCAACUUACCCAAAAAUAAACUUGAUGUUAAUCACUUCCGUUUAUUCUCUAUACCAUUCCAUAUAAAGAAGUGUCAAGAAUAGGGUUAAUAAUAAUGAAAAUAUGAAGCCCCUUCACUUUUAAAAAAUUGUUAUUUUUACAUAAAAUAUAUCGUUAUAAGAUCAAUAAGGAUGAUUUUUAUGUAAAAAUUUUAUUUUUUAAUACAAAUUUAUUUCUACUUAUAUCUCUCUCUUCUUUCUUUUUUUCCCGUUAAAUACUUUUAUCCUUCUCUUUACUUCUGCAAAUAAAGCAUAUCAGCAGCAGGGGAUAGAGCAUCCCGAGAGAGAAAAGAAAAACACACAACUAGCUAGUGGGUAAAAAGAGCGCACCGCACACGUGAGUAAAAGUAGAUAAAUCUAACAAUCUUGCCACCUCCGUCUCUCUCUCUUUCUCCGAAGUUGUGCCUCUUUUGUUUUAACGCAAUCAUAUAGAGAAGCAGACAACCGGCACCGUCCCCACUACCAACUCUGGUCUAGUGGUCUCUCUCUCUCUCUCCCAAUUGUGCCUAAUUUCACACCUUUAAUUUACAGCUGUAUAAACUCUAUUACUCUAUAUAACAAUAUCAAGCUGUUCCCCCACCUUCUCUCUUCAUUCUCGGUUCACUCCUACUGAAAUCAGAUUUUACUCAUAUACCCAAUGGAGAAGAUUAAGAUGUCCAGAUCUGUUCUAUUCACUGUUCUGCUUCUGGGUUUUUGCCACGUGUUAGUUGCGGCAAAGGCCGAGAAUGAAGAGAGGAAAACGUACAUCGUUCACAUGGCCAAAUCCCAAAUGCCGCCGAGUUUCACCGACCGUACUCACUGGUAUGACUCGUCCCUCAAGUCGGUCUCUGGUUCGGCUCAAAUGCUCUACACUUACACCAACGUGGUCCAUGGAUUCUCCGCCAGAUUGACGGAAGCAGAAGCUGAGUCACUAGAGAGUCAACCGGGGAUUCUCUCGGUCUUGCCCGAGUUGAAAUAUGAACUUCACACAACUCGGACGCCUCAGUUCCUUGGACUCGACCAGAACGCCAAUUUGUUCCCCGAGUCGGACUCAGCGAGUGACGUUAUUGUUGGAGUGUUUGAUACCGGUGUUUGGCCGGAGAGCAAGAGCUUCGACGAUACCGGACUCGGACCCAUCCCAAGUUCAUGGAAGGGUCAAUGCGAAUCCGGCAACAACUUCAAUUCAUCCAACUGUAACCGCAAACUAAUUGGUGCUAGGUUCUUCUCCAAAGGUUAUAUGGCUGCCUUGGGUCCAAUCAAUGAAUUAAAAGAGUCCAAUUCUCCCCGAGACGAUGACGGCCAUGGGACACACACGUCAACCACGGCAGCCGGAUCAGUCGUCCCGGAUGCUAAUUUAGUAGGCUAUGCAUCCGGAACGGCACGUGGGAUGGCAGCGCGUGCGAGAGUGGCAAUCUACAAAGUCUGCUGGCUCGGAGGCUGCUUCAGCUCCGACAUAUUAAAGGCUAUGGACACAGCCAUCGAAGACAGUGUUAAUGUCAUGUCAUUGUCCCUCGGCGGUGGAAUGUCCAAUUAUUAUCGCGACAGCGUGGCAAUUGGAGCAUUUGCGGCAAUGGAGAAAGGUAUUUUAGUUUCAUGCUCUGCUGGUAAUGCUGGGCCAAGUUCUUAUAGCCUGUCUAAUCUAGCCCCUUGGAUCACCACCGUCGGCGCCGGUACAUUAGACCGUGACUUCCCGGCGUAUGCUAGUCUUGGUAAUGGGCUAAACUACUCGGGGGUAUCACUGUACCGAGGCGACUCGCUACCAAGUAAGAUGCUACCGUUUGUUUACGCUGGCAAUGCCAGUAAUGCGACAAAUGGUAAUCUUUGCAUGACGGAUACUUUGAUACCUGAAAAGGUGAAGGGUAAAAUUGUGCUGUGUGAUCGUGGAGUAAAUGCUAGAGUUCAAAAGGGCUCUGUGGUAAAAGCAGCCGGUGGAAUAGGGAUGGUGUUGGCAAACACGGAGGCAAAUGGAGACGAGUUGGUGGCAGACGCCCAUUUACUGCCGGCCACGGCUGUAACCCAAAAAUCCGGUGAUGCUAUAAAGAAUUACUUGUUUUCGGAUUCUAAUCCCACGAUUACAAUUCUCUUUGAAGGAACAAAAGUGGGGAUUGAGCCGUCUCCAGUGGUAGCUGCAUUCAGCUCCAGGGGACCAAACUCAAUCACCUCAGAAAUAUUGAAGCCAGAUAUAAUUGCCCCCGGAGUAAACAUUCUAGCCGGAUGGGCGGGAUCAGUUGGGCCAACAGGAUUGGUCGAGGACACGAGGCACGUUGAGUUCAACAUUAUCUCAGGCACGUCAAUGUCGUGUCCGCACGUGAGUGGCCUUGCCGCACUACUCAAGGCAGCUCACCCCGAGUGGAGUCCCGCUGCUAUACGGUCGGCUCUUAUGACAACAGCCUACACUCAAUACAAGAAUGGCCAGAAAAUUGAAGACCUGGCUACAGGGAAGCCAUCAACACCAUUUGAUCAUGGUGCUGGGCACGUGGACCCUGUUUCAGCUCUCAAUCCAGGGCUGGUCUAUGAUCUGACGGCUGACAAUUAUUUGAGCUUCCUCUGUGCAUUGGACUACACAGAAUCGCAAAUUCAGUUACUUGCAAGGAGAAACUUUACUUGUGACUCCAGUAUGAAAUACAGUGUCACUGAUCUCAAUUAUCCUUCUUUUGCUGUUUCUUUCCAAACAGCACAAUUCAAUAGCCCCACUGCCGGUGAUGAUGGAACGACCGUGAUUAAGUACACUCGAACACUAACUAAUGUAGAUUCACCGGCAACAUACAAAGUGUCUACAAGUACUCAAAGCAAGUCAGUUCAGAUAUCAGUAGAGCCGGAGAUUUUGAGCUUUACUCAAGUGAACGAGAAGAAAUCAUAUACAGUGACUUUCAAGGGAAGUUCAAUGCCGUCAAAUACAAAUAGCUUUGGACGGAUUGAGUGGUCGGACGGGAAGCAUACCGUAGGAAGUCCGGUUGCAGUUAGUUGGACAUAGGACUUUUUGUUGUAGCUCACUCAAAUAAAGUGAAUGUAGUACUUAAUUUUAAGUUAUGAUUAAAUUACUGGUUUCUAAUUCUCCGCAAAAAUUGGAAGCUGGGGGUAUUGUUUGAUUUGGAUCCAGUUAGCAUGAAGUUAUUUUUUUGGUAAGUUGGUCAAUUGGCCAAUAGAAUGCUGACACACAUACAGUCUCGUCUGCGUGUUAAUAUUCUAUUAGCCAAUUGACUAACUUACUCCAAAAUAAACUUUAUGCUAACCACUUCCGUUUGAUUUGUAGUUUUGUUCCCCGAGAUAGAAAACAUGAACCCGAAUCUGGGGUUAUUUCUUGCUCGGUGUACAGUGUAUUUCUGAAAUCAGUCUGAUGAAUUUUUAAAGAAGGAUAAAAAAAGUAAUUGUUGAUAGGUUGAGAACCUGUUGUAUAAUUGAUCAACUUUGGCCUAUAAAGGUCUAUUUUUUCUCCGUAAAUUUCAGAACCACAAAAUUCUAAUCUCACGAUCAUGUGAAAAACAUUUUCGAACAGAAAUUAGUAUGAACCUAUUUCACAAAAAAGCUCAGAUAUUAGUACAAGUUAUGAGGCUCCGCAUAGAGAUUAGAGAAUACAUGUACAAGCAAUUAAUUACUGGCAUCGAAAAUAAAACAAAGUUACAAAUACAAUUCCUAGGUCUUGCCCGAAACAAAGUAAAUUGUCUCUAAGAUUCAUAUUUGCAUUUUUUUUUUGGGUGUAAUUGAGAUUUUUAUUAAACUGAAGAAAAAUUUCAAGUUCAGAAGUGGCAUAACACUGAGAAUCAAAACACAAGAACUUUACGUGAGUAGACCUAAUCUCAACCAUAUGGACUAUAAAGUCUCAGCUACAUAAUUUAGCAUUACUACAUUUCUAAACUACCCAUGAAACCACCAUAUGGCAAUAACACAGUUUGUCAAUACCAGUAAAGAUAAAGACUCAAGGAUCUAGGGCUUGCCUUUGAACAUAAUCUAAUACAGAGACCUUGUCUAGAAUUCUACUGUUCAAGUUCUCCUUGAGAUAACAGACAUACACCUAUCAUGAUGGGUUCUCUUCUCAGAAUCUGCUAAUAUCUGCAUUUCUUACAUGUGACUAAAUGAAGACUUCACUUCUACAUAUAAAGUCUAUCCCACGCUAAACUUUACCAAUCCAACAAUUUUCAAAGCCCAUGAACUGAAUCACCACAUGAUUGGAAGGAUAUACAUUUUAGUAAAAGGGGGGAUGAUAAGAAAAUAUGGUAAUUUUUUUAAUGAGUUCAUCGUCAGUACAAAUAUAAUCUAACUUCUUUUAUACAUUUUUAAUAAUUUAUAUAUUUUUAAUUAUUUCUAUUAUAAUAUUUCAAAGUUCAGAAGUCCAAGUUUAAGAAACACGGGAUCUUGAAAACUGAAAAAUAAAAUCUAGCCAAACAAACAAUUAUAAAAAUCAAUCAUAAAAGUAGAGUUAUACUUUAUUGUCCAACCAGGCUUAAGCUUUGCUGACAACAAAAAUGAAUUCCUCUGCGCUUCUAAGAGAUAUACGAUUCAUAUUGAGUUCUUUGAUUCUUAAUACUCCCUCUGCCCUCCAUCAAAGAAUGAUUAGGUCCACUGUUAAAGCCAAAUAUAACUUAUUUUAUACUCUUUCCUCUUAUUUGACAUUCUUAAUUUGCAUGAAAAUUAUACUUAACUCAGUUCAAUCAUUCAUUAAAAGACGGAGAUAGUACAAGUUUAUAUAUCAGGAUAAAAAAAACAAAUAUUGGCUUUUCACAAAGGGCUUAUUACGUAAAAUAUAGUGCAACAGACUAAACUAAAAGCUCAUAAUGGAAAAUUUAGCAAGCAACAAGUUAAAAAAACAGUGUGAGCAAAAAGAAGAUUUGGAACAUAAAUACUAACCACAAGCAGAAGUACCACUCUGAGAUGCAAUAUGCUUUGUUUGGUUGCAUCAUGAGUUUCUCCCAAUGCCUCAAGAGCCUUCAACAUAAGCAUCAACCCAUGGUGCUUUAUGGUCAAUUCCCCCAGAGCCCCAUCCAAUUCCAAAGUUAUCUGCAAUGCUCUUUAUUUUGGUCAGCUUCGGACAAACAAGCAUGCUCAAAACCUGUGCCCGGUGUCACGUCGAGCUUUUAUAAGCAAUUUCAUCAAUGGUCAAAGAGGCACCUCUAUUUGGCACAUAUUGGAACUUCAAACUUUUUCUUUAGUAAGUCGUUCUACCUUGUCUCAUUUUUACUCCGCAAACAACUUAAUGUGGUAUUAUUACUACUAAGACCAUAUACUGUGUGUGUGUGAUAGAUAAUAACAAUGCAACAGCAUACUCUGUGUGUGAUAGAUACUAACACAAUGAAACAAACAAUAUUUUAAAAGAAAUUAGAUUAUCGAUGCAGAAUUCGAUUUCAAAUCAAAAUUCACCUAUAAUAGGAAAAGAAAUCAAUUACGUAAAAAGAAACUAAAGAAAGUGAUAGCACCCAUCUGAUAUCAAAAUUUUACUUAAGCAUAAAAAAAACAGUUGAAAGAUAUAGUCAUACGCAUUUUGUAGCUGCUUUUAGUAUACAAGUUCAUACUUCACACCAAGUGCUCAUAAAUGGACGCUUUAGAAGCAACGGAAGGUUAUAUUAACAGAACAUUUACAUUUAGUGAAGUUUAAGUAACUCUGCCACUGAAAUCCAUAAGUGAGUAAAUAUUUAGCCCUACAAACAGCAAACAAAAGCAUAUGAAUUUUAAUUAAGAACAACAAGUAUUACCAAAAACAAAUUCUCAGUAAAACAAAAUUUAAAAAAUGCCCAUAGUUUCAAAUUUCAGAAUUUGAUUUUUUUACAUAUAUUUUGAAUGACUAAUCACUCUAAAUACCAAAUUAGAUAAACAAUGAUGAUUUAGCAGAAAUAGAGUUGACAGUACAUUAAGAUCAACAAAUGUAAUUUAACAUACAAAUGUAUCUGGUCAUUAGAGAUAAGGUAUAAAAAUCGAUGUAUUUCCAUGGGUUGCCCUCGUUCAGAAUAGCAAAUCAAACAAUAAAACCGCAGUCACAAUUAUAGGGAAAAGAAAAAGGGAAACAAUUAAUCAAGGAAUCACCAAAUUAACAUUUAAGAAAGAAUAAGAUGCAUGUCUAGAUCUUACUGCAGUGGGGAAUGCCGCCAAUUAACGACUUCUGCCGCUAGAUUCAAGUUUCUAAUUCUAGCCCC